rnacentral:rRNA from 1 species
ACUGAGACACGGCCCAGACUCCUACGGGAGGCAGCAGUGGGGAAUAUUGCACAAUGGGCGCAAGCCUGAUGCAGCGACGCCGCGUGAGGGAUGACGGCCUUCGGGUUGUAAACCUCUUUCAGCAGGGAAGAAGCGAAAGUGACGGUACCUGCAGAAGAAGCGCCGGCUAACUACGUGCCAGCAGCCGCGGUAAUACGUAGGGCGCAAGCGUUGUCCGGAAUUAUUGGGCGUAAAGAGCUCGUAGGCGGCUUGUCGCGUCGGAUGUGAAAGCCCGGGGCUUAACCCCGGGUCUGCAUUCGAUACGGGCAGGCUAGAGUUCGGUAGGGGAGAUCGGAAUUCCUGGUGUAGCGGUGAAAUGCGCAGAUAUCAGGAGGAACACCGGUGGCGAAGGCGGAUCUCUGGGCCGAUACUGACGCUGAGGAGCGAAAGCGUGGGGAGCGAACAGGAUUAGAUACCCUGGUAGUCCACGCCGUAAACGUUGGGAACUAGGUGUGGGCGACAUUCCACGUUGUCCGUGCCGCAGCUAACGCAUUAAGUUCCCCGCCUGGGGAGUACGGCCGCAAGGCUAAAACUCAAAGGAAUUGACGGGGGCCCGCACAAGCGGCGGAGCAUGUGGCUUAAUUCGACGCAACGCGAAGAACCUUACCAAGGCUUGACAUACACCGGAAACGUCUGGAGACAGGCGCCCCCUUGUGGUCGGUGUACAGGUGGUGCAUGGCUGUCGUCAGCUCGUGUCGUGAGAUGUUGGGUUAAGUCCCGCAACGAGCGCAACCCUUGUUCUGUGUUGCCAGCAUGCCCUUCGGGGUGAUGGGGACUCACAGGAGACUGCCGGGGUCAACUCGGAGGAAGGUGGGGACGACGUCAAGUCAUCAUGCCCCUUAUGUCUUGGGCUGCACACGUGCUACAAUGGCCGGUACAAUGAGCUGCGAAGCCGUGAGGUGGAGCGAAUCUCAAAAAGCCGGUCUCAGUUCGGAUUGGGGUCUGCAACUCGACCCCAUGAAGUCGGAGUCGCUAGUAAUCGCAGAUCAGCAUUGCUGCGGUGAAUACGUUCCCGGGCCUUGUACACACCGCCCGUCACGUCACGAAAGUCGGUAACACCCGA